UACGGAGGGGGCUAGCGUUAUUCGGAAUUAUUGGGCGUAAAGGGCGCGUAGGCGGCCCGGUAAGUCAAAGGUGAAAUCCCUCGGCUCAACUGAGGAACUGCCUUUGAAACUGUCGGGCUUGAGGCCGGGAGGGGGUAGCGGAAUUCCCAGUGUAGCGGUGAAAUUCGUAGAUAUUGGGAAGAACACCGAUGGCGAAGGCAGCCAUCUGGACCGACACUGACGCUGAGGCGCGAAAGCGUGGGGAGCAAACAGG
rnacentral:rRNA from 1 species